rnacentral:rRNA from 1 species
CCUUCGGGUUGUAAAGCUCUUUUGUCAGGGAAGAAACGGUGGUCUCUAAUAUAGACUGCUAAUGACGGUACCUGAAGAAUAAGCACCGGCUAACUACGUGCCAGCAGCCGCGGUAAUACGUAGGGUGCAAGCGUUAAUCGGAAUUACUGGGCGUAAAGCGUGCGCAGGCGGUUAUAUAAGUCAGAUGUGAAAUCCCCGGGCUCAACCUGGGAACUGCAUUUGAGACUGUAUGGCUAGAGUGUGUCAGAGGGGGGUAGAAUUCCACGUGUAGCAGUGAAAUGCGUAGAUAUGUGGAGGAAUACCGAUGGCGAAGGCAGCCCCCUGGGAUAACACUGACGCUCAUGCACGAAAGCGUGGGGAGCAAACAGGAUUAGAUACCCUGGUAGUCCACGCCCU